rnacentral:lncRNA from 1 species
GUAAGUGUGGAUAAGAAAAUAUGGAUAGGAGAGUGCAUACAUGUUGUAUAAUUGUCAAUAGUUCUUUGGAUGUAAAUUGAAAAAUUCGUAAAACAAAAACAAUCCACGAUGUCCUUAUAUGAAAUCUAUACAAGGUAAACUACAAGAGGUAGCGAGUAAGAUAUACCUAAGCAUACGAGAGUAGUUAACAGAGUUUUUUGUCUAAGAAUAGUUAAUAGAGUUACAAAUGUAAAAUUAAAAGGUUAUAAAAGAUCAAUCAAAAUACCUAGAUAUGAAAAAACAAAGUGUGCGUGUGGACAAGAGAGACAUGGACAAUGAUAGUUUGGAUAGUGACGACGU